GCCCUCCUCGGACCGGGCUGGGGGAGACGGCUGCUCUCCCAGGGCACCCGGCACGCGGCAUGGGAAUGACCCCUCGGCUGCGUCCUGACAUCUCGGGCCGGCUUGGAAAGCACCAAAGCCUUCCACUUGCUGAGGCGCUCUGACACGCUGGAAAUAGGAAAUACUGCUGAGCAGAGAGCAGGCUGCAGGGGUCUGCUGGGAUCCGCUCCGGACAGCGGCCGGGUCCCGGAGGUGCCCCCGGGAGCAUCCCCCACCGGAGCCCGAGGGCAGAUGCCAGCCCGGCGCUGACUCCCGGCUCCAAGAGCUCCCGCGUCCCGGCAGCUCUUCCCAGGGGGUUUCUCACCCUCGUCAGCCUCGCUGCAUCCCCUCUCGCGAGGGGACGGGGAAGAGUCGGAGGGGCCCGUUGGGACCGCUGAGCCCCCGCGAGCGUCGGGGCAGGGCCGCGGCCGGGCGGCGCGCGGGCUCACCGUGGUUAAGGCCUGCUUCGCCAGGGUCUCGAACGCCUGGGCCACGUUGAUGUCGUUCUUGGCGCUGACCUCGAAGUAUGGGAUGUCUUUUUCCUUGCACCAGGCAGAGGCGAUCUCCUCGGGCACCUGCGAGAAGGGCGGAUGGGGCCGCAGCACGGACCCGCGCAGCGUUGCGGGUGGCCACCGACGAAGGCCACCCUCCUCCCCAUCAGCCCGGGCGCCUCCGGACCUCCCCAGCUUUCCUCCAAGCGCCGCGGGGCAGGGCGGGACGCGGGGAGCGUGGGGGUAUCCAGGACGCUUAGGUCCCGCUGGCCCCGGAGCAGCCGCGCAAGGCGCAGGAGCAGCCGCGCAGGGCUCGGCAUCGGCGUGCCGCCGCUCCUCCGCCCGGGAGCCCCGGCUCCCCGCGACCGAGCUCCAGCACAGGAGAGGCCUGGCUCUGGCUGGAAGACCGGCAUUUUUGAGCCCCUGGGACUCCACGGCGUCUCCGUUCAGCGCACGGGAGUCUCCGGCCGGCCCUUACCUGCCGCUCGCAGAUGUCUAUCUUGUUGCCCAGCACGACCAUGGGGAAGCCUUGCUCCCUGGGGAUGACCUUCUCCAGGAAGUCAUCUCUCCAGUUCUCCAGGGACUCGAAGGACUCCCGGUCGGUCACGUCGAAGGCCAGCAUGCAGCCGUCCGAGCCUUUGUAGAAGGUCGACACCAUGGACCGGAACCGCUCCUGGCCCCCCGUGUCCCAGAUCUAGGGCAGAGCAGGGCAGGGCUGCAGCCCCCCGGCGCGGCAGCACGGAGACGGGCAGCCCUCCGCUCUGCUGGCUCGGGAGAGCGGAGCCUCCGAAACGGCGCGUCACGCGUUCGGUGCCGCUAAACACCUCCAACCCAGUAAACGCAGCCCUGCGCCUGA